rnacentral:hammerhead_ribozyme from 1 species
GCACUGCUGAAGAGUCCCAAAGUAGGACGAAACGGCCUUUCAGUGC